CCUACGGGAGGCUGCAGUGGGGAAUAUUGCACAAUGGGGGAAACCCUGAUGCAGCGACGCCGCGUGAGUGAAGAAGUAUUUCGGUAUGUAAAGCUCUAUCAGCAGGGAAGAAAUAGCGACCUUUGGGUCGCCAGACGGUACCUGACUAAGAAGCCCCGGCUAACUACGUGCCAGCAGCCGCGGUAAUACGUAGGGGGCAAGCGUUAUCCGGAUUUAAUGGGUGUGAAGGGAGCGUAGACGGCAGCACAAGUCUGAAGUGAAAUGCCGGGGCUUAACCCCGGAACUGCUUUGGAAACUGUGCAGCGAGAGUGCAGGAGAGGUAAGUGGAAUUCCUGGUGUAGCGGUGAAAUGCGGAGAUAUUAGGAGGAACACCAGUGGCGAAGGCGGCUUACUGGACUGUAACUGACGUUGAGGCUCGAAAGCGUGGGGAGCAAACAGGAUUAGAUACCCCAGUAGUC
rnacentral:rRNA from 1 species